rnacentral:rRNA from 1 species
CCUACGGGAGGCAGCAGUGGGGAAUAUUUGGCAAUGGACGCAAGUCUGACCCAGCAACGCCGCGUGAAGGAAGAAGGCUUUCGGGUUGUAAACUUCUUUUAAUGGGGAAGCGCAUAAGACGGUACCCCUUGAAUAAGCCACGGCUAACUACGUGCCAGCAGCCGCUGUAAUACGUAGGUGGCAAGCGGUGUCCGGAUUUACUGGGUGUAAAGGGCGUGCAGCCGGAGAGACAAGUCAGAUGUGAAAGCCACGGGCUCAACCCGUGAACUGCAUUUGAAACUGUUUCCCUUGAGUGGCGGAGAGGUAAGCGGAAUUCCUAGUGUAGCGGUGAAAUGCGUAGAUAUUAGGAAGAACACCAGUGGCGAAGGCGGAUUACUGGACGAUAACUGACGGUGAGGCGCGAAAGCGUGGGGAGCAAACAGGAUUAGAUACCCUAGUAGUC